GAUGAACGCUGGCGGCGUGCCUAAUACAUGCAAGUCGAGCGAACAGAUGAGGAGCUUGCUGCUCUGACGUUAGCGGCGGACGGGUGAGUAACACGUGGAUAACCUACCUAUAAGACUGGGAUAACUUCGGGAAACCGGAGCUAAUACCGGAUAAUAUAUUGAACCGCAUGGUUCAAUAGUGAAAGACGGUUUUGCUGUCACUUAUAGAUGGAUCCGCGCCGCAUUAGCUAGUUGGUAAGGUAACGGCUUACCAAGGCAACGAUGCGUAGCCGACCUGAGAGGGUGAUCGGCCACACUGGAACUGAGACACGGUCCAGACUCCUACGGGAGGCAGCAGUAGGGAAUCUUCCGCAAUGGGCGAAAGCCUGACGGAGCAACGCCGCGUGAGUGAUGAAGGUCUUCGGAUCGUAAAACUCUGUUAUUAGGGAAGAACAAAUGUGUAAGUAACUAUGCACGUCUUGACGGUACCUAAUCAGAAAGCCACGGCUAACUACGUG
rnacentral:rRNA from 1 species